GGGCUCAGUGGUAGAGCACCUGCCUUACAUGCAGACAGUCCCAGGUUCAAUCCCUGCCAUCUCCA